AGUGAACGCUGGCGGUAGGCCUAACACAUGCAAGUCGAACGGCAGCACAGUAAGAGCUUGCUCUUACGGGUGGCGAGUGGCGGACGGGUGAGGCAUACAUCGGAAUCUACUUUUUCGUGGGGGAUAACGUAGGGAAACUUACGCUAAUACCGCAUACGACCUACGGGUGAAAGCAGGGGAUCUUCGGACCUUGCGCGAUUGAAUGAGCCGAUGUCGGAUUAGCUAGUUGGCGGGGUAAAGGCCCACCAAGGCGACGAUCCGUAGCUGAGCUGAGAGGAUGGUCAGCCACACUGGAACUGAGACACGGUCCAGACUCCUACGGGAGGCAGCAGUGGGGAAUAUUGGACAAUGGGCGCAAGCCUGAUCCAGCCAUACCGCGUGAGUGAAGAAGGCCUUCGGGUUGUAAAGCCCUUUUGUUGGGAAAGAAAAGCAGCAGGUUAAUACCCCGCUGUUCUGACGGUACCCAAAGAAUAAGCACCGGCUAACUUCGUG
rnacentral:rRNA from 1 species